GCAUCUUCAAGGGGAUCCUCGUAGACUUCAUUUCCUAUGACAAUUAACUUUACGUAAACUGGCUUGUAGCAGUCAAGCGUUCUUAGCAACGUUGUUUUUUGAUCCUUCGAUGUCGGUUCUUCCUAUCGUACUGAAGCGGACUUCAGUAAGCGUUGGGUUGUUAACUUACUAAUAGGGAACCUGACCUUGGUUUAUACUGUCGUGACUCGUGAGACAGGUUAGUUUUACCCUACUGAUGAAAUGUUGUUGCAAGAGUAAUUGAACUUAGUACGAGAGGAACCGUUCAUUCGGAUUAUUGGUAUUUGGGCAUAUCUGAGCAGGCAAUGGCCCGAAGCUAUCAUCCGUUGGGUUAUGGCUGAACGCCUCUAAGUCAGAACCCGUGCUAGAACGCGAUGAUUACCGCCUUGUGCCAUUUUAGUUGAAUACGAAUAGACCCACCGUCCUGCAUCUU
rnacentral:ncRNA from 1 species